rnacentral:lncRNA from 1 species
GAAGUGGAAGGACCCCGCGUCCAGGACAGGAAACACCCCUGACCUUGCUUACACACUCUGGAUACCACCUGCUGUGGAAUGACGGAGUGGCGGAAGCAGACAUCCAGCGAUAGUUAGAUUUCCUGACGUUGACAUCCAAGCAAGAAAGGCGUGUACCUGAGGACCUGCCCGUGGUAGAAGUCUCAGCUUUUCUCAGAGACAGAGAUUAUGAUUGUGACAAGCAAGAACAUCUCCAGUAAUGAAGGUGCUGAUGGACAAGACCCUGGAUAGCUCUUCUUUUGCAGAGAAGUGCGACAGCCAGCAGGACAGUGAGGCUGCAGCAGCAUGGGGACAGAGUGCAGAAAGAAGUCACAGAAGCCUCGGAAGAAGGUUAUUUUCAGUCAUACAAGGACACCGUGAUGCUCGGGCUGCAGUCCUUUCCAAGUCUACGGGGCGUUGUUCCUUUGUGUCAACACCAGACAAGACUCAUGGGCAUUGCUGUCAGUGUUCUGUGUGUUAUAAUACCAGGGACCCUCACAUGGCUGUGGUAGAUUCUAAUCAAUAGAAAAUAGUAAGUCAAAGCAAAGGCAGUUACCCCUAAUGAGAACGUGGAAAGACAGAGCCAUCCUUUUGCCUAUUUCCAAGUUUUGAUUUUUUUUUCUUACAUUGUCUUCCUGAAAUUUUAAAAUUUACCCUCCCUUCAGCUGACUCAGUUCCCAUAACCAAACCAGCAGGAAGGAUUAUCACUCAUUUUUAUUAUACCCUAUUGGACAGAUAACUCAUUAUUUUGUUUCCAUUUAUUCAAUUACCAGUGAGGUCAAAUAUAUUUUCACAUAUUUAUUGGCCAUUUCUGUUUCAGUUUACUUUGCCUAUUCCUGUCUUUUGUCCAUUUUCCUUUUGGGGAAUUCAACUUUUUCUUAUUCAUUUAUAUCUGUAUAACAGUAAACAUUUGUCUUUCAUAAAUGUUGCAAAUAUUUUUUUUCCAUUUUUCUUUGCCUUUUCAUUUAUGUUUUUCUUUAAUAUAGAAAUUUAUAUGUAGUCAAAUCCUGAAAUUAUUUUUGUGCUUUCACUUCUGGGAUUAGGUAGAAAAGUUCUUUCUUAACCCCGGGAUUAAAUAUUUAUUUUAUUAUUAUUUUUUUUAGUGUAUUUAGAGGUUAUACUUAAAUUUGUUUUCCAUUUGAAAUUUAUUUUAAAAUAAGAUGAGUUGGUGAUUAACUUUGUUUUUUCUUUUUACCAAAGACUUAGCAAGUUUUAUAGACUUUGUUCUUGAGUAAUUCAUCUUUUUAAGUCAUAUUGCUCAUAUGUUAGUCCCUGCAUGUGAGAAGCUAUUUCUGGACUGUCUACUCUGUUCCCUUGAUCUGCCUAUUAUCUUGGCCCAAGGCCAUACAAUAUAAAUUCCUGUUGAUUUAUAAUAUACUUCUUUAUCUG